CAGUUUUGCCCAUCAAACACACGGGAAUUAUUUUGUGCUCAGUGUCUUACUAGUGAAACUUGAAAAAUGGUUUCAAAAGAAUUGAAUUGAAAUUUGAUUAAUUUAUGCUAGAAAUUUCACACGUCCUGCAGGACGGGCAUUUUUGGGAGAUUAACUUGUCCAGAGUCAUUUUUACUCGUAUUUAUCAUUUAUGAGCGGACAAGUGGAUUUGUCGAGCCUUGAUUAACUGCAAGUGAUUAACCACAUUAUUUCCAUAAAACUUAUACUACAUGUAAUUACAUUGUAUGAGAUAAUAAAUCAUUUGACUUAGUAGUGAAGUAAGUUUAAGACUGCAUAAUAUUGAUAUAAAAGUGAAUUCAGUUAGUGGGUUCCAAACUACAGGUGGAAACUGUUCUAUUUUCUAUUCAAGUUUAUUUUUGAUGAAACAUAACUUAUUUCCUGACAACAGUUAUAUAUGCUUAACAAUGUUGUAUUUUGAUUCUUUCAAAAUCUGUUGAAAAUAUUCAUAAAUUCAUGAAAAGAAGUUAAAAAAAAGAGAAAGAAAUGAGAUUUGGGCAUAAUUUUUAAGAAGAUAAAGAUACUUCAAUGAAAAAGUAAGAUAGGUAACAAAAAUCAAUCAAAUGAAAAACACAUUUAAAUAUCAAGUUGUUCCUGACAUGUCAGAACAAAAUUAAUAAAAACUUUUUUGAAAUCUGGUAACCUUGAGCUAUGUUCUCUACCGAUUGAGCUAUUCCGACAAUUAUUACUCACUUUUACAAUUGUUAGUCAAUCAUAUCUGGACAUGCAACAUUCCACUUACCCAUAUAUAUGCCUUUAAAAAGGACUGUUUCGACUAUAAAUACUUGAAAUUAUAAAGAAAUUGCCCUAUUAUUCUUUACAGUCUAUUGUGUAUAGGCUAAAUUUAGGAGACACUUGUGAAAAUAUGCAAUGAAAAAUGAAUAAUUAGAUUGAAAAUACAGGAAAUGAAAAUGAGCAUUUUACUUUAUCAAUAUUUCUUAAUGUUUCAUUGAAGUAUGUAAUAAAUUAAAAGAAAUAUUGUAUUAAUUAGGAAAAGUUUUUAUUUCAGGUGUGUGAUUAAAGGCUUGUUUGUUAGAUUUCAAUUGUGGCACAGUUGGUUGUUUGCUGAGAAGCUGUGAAACGUAAUUAUACAGGCCAUUAAGGAGGUUUUUGUCAGAUUGAUGAAUGUGAAAUUAAGAGGACCCAUUUUGAGAAUGCAUCAAGAGAGAUAAAGUCUAAAAUGUGAUACUGUCAAUGUGACUAACCUUGAAGUAAACAGAUGACACAAUGUUUUUUCAAUGUCAUGGGCAUAUAAUGAAGAGAAAACAGAGAUGCUUGUUUGACAGAUACAGUAAUAGUAGGAGUUAUGAGGGAAGAUAGAUUGCAGUGAUAACUAUAUUGAGGCACCACUUCAUCACCAAGAACAUGAGAUGAAUUAUCAAUGUUUUCAAUGUGUUUGAACACCCAUUUUAAAUAAUACAGCUCAGAGUGAAUUUUUCAAAAUAAUUAAUUCUGUUUUCAAAGUUUUUUAUUUAAAUGUGAGUUGAUCUUGUCAAGUACUUUAUUUUUUUAGGGAUGGCAACAAAU